rnacentral:lncRNA from 12 species
UGUGAUCACUGAUUUUUAACUAAGAGUCAGAGUGGGCAUUGAUUGGCAUCAACCAUGAAAUAAAUCUGUGAGUCUUGUGCAGCUUUAAGUGCUGAUUUCAGUGGAUGUUGGUGACUUUUGCAGUUUGGAGCCUGUCUGCUGAAUGGGCUGCGUCAUGGGACCGAAUUUCCAUUUCGAUGUGCCCGCCCUCCACUUUGGUGACGUCUCCUUUGCAGCCUCUUCAGGAUGUUAACUCCAAGGUUGCUGGUGCCUUAGGCAGCAUUUUGCUGUCCUGAGAUCAAAUAGGACCGAGGGAAUAAAACUCAG